GUAAUGGGGCUAAUAUUUUAAGUGUCUUGCAGUAUACAUCUUUAAAAGGAAACUUGAAGAGAACUUAGAUUUUGCUUCUCCUAAGAAAACUUAAUCCGAUGAUAAAAUCUUCAGUAUAUUAUAAUAGAAAUAUCACAGACAUGAAAAGUACAGCAGAGGUAAUAUAGUCAAUAACACUGUAAUAAGGUUGUAUGGUGAAAUCCAGUGACUGCACUUAUUGUGGUGAGCAUGGAAUUAUGGUCAGAAUUGUUGCAUCAAUCACUUGGAAUGAUAACAUUGUGUGUUAAUAAUACUCCAACGGGGGGAAAAAAGGCACACUUGAAUUCUCCAAAAAGAAGGAAUAGGAUGAUUUCAACAUUUUUUCACAAUCUUAAGAUACUUUCAUUGACACCUUCCUGUCCCAGUUUAGACCUGCAUUCUACAAGUGUGAUUCCACUCAAUGAAGAUCUCAUAACAAAACUUCAGCUUCCCACAGAGGCCACAGAAUCCUGAGGACAACCUGCAGGAAGCUGGGUCACUACUUUUUAUAAGUCAAACCCUUCAAAUUUGACAAGACUUUUCAGCAUCUAAGAAUGUUUUGGUUUUCUGGGGCUUCUUAAACAAGAGAAUACCAGCCCCUACUGAUUCUUAAAGUUAUGUCUACAAUAGUCAACAUCAAACGCUAAAGCUAAGAACUUAUGUUUCAAAGAAAAGAUUCUGGAAUUCCGAAUACCAUGUUCCAUUUCUCCUACACUAAGAAGCGAAAGAUGAUGGGAGAUAAAAGCAGUGCUUAGAAAGAUAGAGGAAUAAGCAGUAGUUUGAUUUGCAGCCAAUGACUAGUUACUAGUCAUGUAAAAUGGAAAAACCAUUUCCACAUUUUCCUUCGUUUUCAUGUCUGGAAAAAGAACAAUAAUAGUAUUUUUUAUUGGGAAUUUUUUGAGAAUUGAGAGGAAAUGUGUAAAAUUGCUUGGCAUACCAAAUUAAAUGUAAAACUUGUAUGGUGCAUGAUCUUAAAAUGGGAUUCCCAAGCUUUCUGUAGAACAAUUUAUAUAACAAAAGGACUGUACACACCACAGUCUCUCUUAUUCAUUUUCUCUUUCUGACUAGACAAUUUCGAUGAAAUAUUAAAAUUGUCACAAAGUAAAGGUAUUUGGCAGAUGUACAUCUAUAGUGACCUUGUCACCUGCUAAAUUUUAAUAAACUUUUUCCAGGA